UACGUAGGGUGCGAGCGUUGUCCGGAAUUAUUGGGCGUAAAGAGCUCGUAGGCGGUCUGUCGCGUCCGUUGUGAAAACUCGAGGCUCAACCUCGGGCUUGCAGUGGAUACGGGCAGACUAGAGUGCGGUAGGGGAGAAUGGAAUUCCUGGUGUAGCGGUGGAAUGCGCAGAUAUCAGGAGGAACACCGAUGGCGAAGGCAGUUCUCUGGGCCGUAACUGACGCUGAGGAGCGAAAGCGUGGGGAGCGAACAGG
rnacentral:rRNA from 1 species